rnacentral:lncRNA from 1 species
UAGGCCUGGACAACGGGCGGUUCGGUGCAGUUUUCGGUCUCAAAAUUCGGAACCGUUCAAACCGACGGUGUGAAUAUUACAGUCCGUUUCCGUCCGUUUGAGUCCACGGUUUCGACAGUCGGCGGUUCAACGGUUUUAGCGGGUGGUCGGCCGGACUCCGCCGGUUUUGGAUUAAACAAAAUCUGGUACAAAAAUUACAAAAAAAAAAAAAAAAAAACGGAAUAACAGUGUUGGUGGGUGUUCACAACUUGUUACAUGUGAAAAAUGAAAAGGAUUGUGUUGUAUGAAUUGAUAAUAAAGGAAGAAGUAGAAGAAGAAAGAGUUGAGAUUUGUGGAGCUUAUUGAGGAAAAGCUCUCGAUCUGAAGGAAUUGUGGUGGACUACUAGUUCCAGCAGGAGAUG